GACGAACGCUGGCGGCGUGCUUAACACAUGCAAGUCGAACGGAAAGGCCCUGCUUUUGUGGGGUGCUCGAUUGGCGAACGGGUGAGUAACACGUGAGUAACCUGCCCUUGACUUUGGGAUAACUUCAGGAAACUGGGGCUAAUACCGGAUAUGAGCUCCUGCUGCAUGUUGGGGGUUGGUAAGUUUCGGCGGUUGGGGAUGGACUCGCGGCUUAUCAGCUUGUUGGUGGGGUAGUGGCUUACCAAGGCUUUGACGGGUAGCCGGCCUGAGAGGGUUACCGGCGACAAGGGGACUAAGAUAGGGACCAGACUCCUACGGGAGGCAGCGGUGGGGAGUAUGGCACAAUGGGCGGAAGCCUGAUGCAGAGACGCCGCGUGCGGGAUGACGGCCUUCGGGGGGUAAACCGCUUUCGAAUGAGACGAAGAGUGAGUGACGGUAAUGGGUAAAGAAGCACCGGCUAACUACGUG
rnacentral:rRNA from 1 species